rnacentral:rRNA from 1 species
GUGGGGAAUUUUGGACAAUGGGGGAAACCCUGAUCCAGCCAUGCCGCGUGCAGGAUGAAGGUCUUCGGAUUGUAAACUGCUUUUGUCAGGGACGAAAAGGUUUCGGCUAAUACCCGGAACUGCUGACGGUACCUGAAGAAUAAGCACCGGCUAACUACGUGCCAGCAGCCGCGGUAAUACGUAGGGUGCAAGCGUUAAUCGGAAUUACUGGGCGUAAAGCGUGCGCAGGCGGUUCCGUAAGAUAGAUGUGAAAUCCCCGGGCUUAACCUGGGAAUUGCAUUUAUGACUGCGGGACUGGAGUUUAUCAGAGGGGGGUGGAAUUCCAAGUGUAGCAGUGAAAUGCGUAGAUAUUUGGAAGAACACCAAUGGCGAAGGCAGCCCCCUGGGAUACGACUGACGCUCAUGCACGAAAGCGUGGGGAGCAAACAGGAUUAGAAACCCUAGUAGUCC